GACCCAGAAGAACGUACCCGGAGACCAGAAGCCCCCGGAGGACCAGGAAGACUAUGAAGACCUAUCAGCCUGAUAGAUGCAGGAUCCGAGUAAAGGAGUCGACAGGACGACAAAGGAUGACGAUGUGAAGGAUGACCCGAGCUACACUCCGAGCUGCCUGUGGAGGAGGAUCGAGAAGAUUCGAGAAGAUGAAGUUGCCCAGAAGACUAGAUAUCAUUUCCGCUUUCUGUUUGUUUUCUUUUAGCCCAAGGGGAGAUUCGUAUUACAAUCCUUUGGAUUAUGUAAUAAAUAAACCCAUGUCAUAUUGUAAACGUGAGAUAUGUUUGUGAUAUUCGAUUGAAAUGAGUUUUGUA